AGAGCUUGAUCCUGGCUCAGGAUGAACGCUAGCUACAGGCUUAACACAUGCAAGUCGAGGGGAAACGAUAUUGGAAGCUUGCUUCCGAUAGGCGUCGACCGGCGCACGGGUGAGUAACGCGUAUCCAACCUGCCCAUCACUUGGGAAUAACCUUGCGAAAGUAAGACUAAUGCCCAAUGACAUUUAUAGAAGGCAUCGGAAAUGAAUUAAAGAUUUAUUGGUGAUGGAUGGGGAUGCGUCUGAUUAGCUUGUUGGUGGGGUAACGGCCUACCAAGCCAACGAUCAGUAGCCGACCUGAGAGGGUGACCGGCCACAUUGGGACUGAGACACGGCCCAAACUCCUACGGGAGGCAGCAGUGGGGAAUAUUGCACAAUGGGGGAAACCCUGAUGCAGCGACGCCGCGUGAGCGAAGAAGUAUUUCGGUAUGUAAAGCUCUAUCAGCAGGGAAGAAAAUGACGGUACCUGACUAAGAAGCACCGGCUAAAUACGUGCCAGCAGCCGCGGUAAUACGUAUGGUGCAAGCGUUAUCCGGAUUUACUGGGUGUAAAGGGAGCGUAGACGGCUGUGUAAGUCUGAAGUGAAAGCCCGGGGCUCAACCCCGGGUCUGCUUUGGAAACUAUGCAGCUAGAGUGUCGGAGAGGUAAGUGGAAUUCCCAGUGUAGCGGUGAAAUGCGUAGAUAUUGGGAGGAACACCAGUGGCGAAGGCGGCUUACUGGACGAUGACUGACGUUGAGGCUCGAAAGCGUGGGGAGCAAACAGGAUUAGAUACCCUGGUAGUCCACGCCGUAAACGAUGACUACUAGGUGUCGGGGAGCAGAGCUCUUCGGUGCCGCAGCAAACGCAAUAAGUAGUCCACCUGGGGAGUACGUUCGCAAGAAUGAAACUCAAAGGAAUUGACGGGGACCCGCACAAGCGGUGGGGCAUGUGGUUUAAUUCGAAGCAACGCGAAGAACCUUACCUGCUCUUGACAUCCCGGUGACCGGCAUGUAAUGAUGCCUUUUCUUCGGAACACCGGUGACAGGUGGUGCAUGGUUGUCGUCAGCUCGUGUCGUGAGAUGUUGGGUUAAGUCCCGCAACGAGCGCAACCCUUAUCUUCAGUAGCCAGCAAUUCGGAUGGGCACUCUGGAGAGACUGCCAGGGAUAACCUGGAGAAAGGUGGGGAUGACGUCAAAUCAUCAUGCCCCUUAUGAGCAGGGCUACACACGUGCUACAAUGGCGUAAACAAAGGGAAGCGAGCCUGCGAGGGUAAGCAAAUCUCAAAAAUAACGUCUCAGUUCGGAUUGUAGUCUGCAACUCGACUACAUGAAGCUGGAAUCGCUAGUAAUCGCGAAUCAGCAUGUCGCGGUGAAUACGUUCCCGGGUCUUGUACACACCGCCCGUCACACCAUGGGAGUUGGUAACGCCCGAAGUCAGUGACCCAACCGUAAGGAGGGAGCUGCCGAAGGUGGGACCGAUAACUGGGGUGAAGUCGUAACAAGGUA
rnacentral:rRNA from 1 species